GACGAACGCUGGCGGCGUGCCUAAUACAUGCAAGUAGAACGCUGAAGGAGGAGCUUGCUUCUCUGGAUGAGUUGCGAACGGGUGAGUAACGCGUAGGUAGCCUGCCUGGUAGCGGGGGAUAACUAUUGGAAACGAUAGCUAAUACCGCAUAAUAGUAGAUGUUGCAUGACAUUUGUUUAAAAGUUGCAAUUGCUUCACUACCAGAUGGACCUGCGUUGUAUUAGCUAGUGGUAGGGGUACCGCCUCACCAAGGCGAGGAUACAUAGCCGACCGGAUAGGGGGAUCAGCCACACUGGGACUGUGACACGGCCCAUACGCCUUCGGGAGGCAGCAGGAGGGAAUCGUCAGCAAUAGACGGAAGUCUGACCGAGCAACGCCGCGUGAGUGAAGAAGGUUUUCGGAUCGUAAAGCUCGGUUGUAAGAGAAGAACGAGUGUGAGAGUGGAAAGUUCACACUGUGACGGUAACUUACCAGAAAGGGACGGCUAACUACGUG
rnacentral:rRNA from 1 species